AACACCCGGUCCCAUCCCGAACCCGGAAGUUAAGCCUGCCAGCGCCGAUGGUACUGCAACCGAGAGGAUGUGGGAGAGUAGGACGCCGCCGGAC
rnacentral:rRNA from 2 species